CCUACGGGUGGCAGCAGUCGAGAAUCAUUCACAAUGGGGGAAACCCUGAUGGUGCGACGCCGCGUGGGGGAAUGAAGGUCUUCGGAUUGUAAACCCCUGUCAUGUGGGAGCAAAUUAAAAAGAUAGUACCACAAGAGGAAGAGACGGCUAACUCUGUGCCAGCAGCCGCGGUAAUACAGAGGUCUCAAGCGUUGUUCGGAAUCACUGGGCGUAAAGCGUGCGGAGGCUGUUUCGUAAGGCGUGUGUGAAAGGCGCGGGCUCAACCCGCGGACGGCACAUGAUACUGCGAGACUAGAGUAAGGGAGGGGGAACCGGAAUUCUCGGUGUAGCAGUGAAAUGCGUAGAUAUCGAGAGGAACACUCGUGGCGAAGGCGGGUUCCUGGACAUUAACUGACGCUGAGGCACGAAGGCCAGGGGAGCGAAAGGGAUUAGAUACCCUAGUAGUC
rnacentral:rRNA from 1 species